rnacentral:rRNA from 1 species
CGUGUAGGCGGCUCAGCAAGUCGGGUGUGAAAGCCCUCGGCUUAACCGAGGAAGUGCGCCUGAAACUACUGAGCUUGAGUACCGGAGAGGGCGGUGGAAUUCCCGGUGUAGAGGUGAAAUUCGUAGAUAUCGGGAGGAACACCAGCGGCGAAGGCGACCGCCUGGACGGCUACUGACGCUGAGACGCGAAAGCAUGGGGAGCAAACAGGAUUAGAUACCCUGGUAGUCCACGCUGUAAACGAUGAGCGCUAGGUGUUGUGGGUGUUGACCCCCGCAGUGCCGCAGCUAACGCAUUAAGCGCUCCGCCUGGGAGGUACGGCCGCAAGGCUAA